UAGUAAACUUUCAUGCUUAGAGUGCCA
rnacentral:piRNA from 1 species